AAAGGGUCCGUAGGCGGGCCCGUAAGUCAGUGGUGAAAUCUCAUAGCUCAACUAUGAAACUGCCAUUGAUACUGCGGGCCUUGAGUAAGGUAGAGGUAGCUGGAAUAAGUAGUGUAGCGGUGAAAUGCAUAGAUAUUACUUAGAACACCAAUUGCGAAGGCAGGUUACCAUGUCUUAACUGACGCUGAUGGACGAAAGCGUGGGGAGCGAACAGGAUUAGAUACCCCAGU
rnacentral:rRNA from 1 species